rnacentral:rRNA from 1 species
UGGGGAAUCUUGGACAAUGGGCGCAAGCCUGAUCCAGCCAUGCCGCGUGGAUGAUGAAGGCCUUAGGGUUGUAAAAUCCUUUCGUUGGGGACGAUAAUGACGGUACCCAAAGAAGAAGCUCCGGCUAACUUCGUGCCAGCAGCCGCGGUAAUACGAAGGGGGCUAGCGUUGUUCGGAUUUACUGGGCGUAAAGCGCGUGUAGGCGGACUUGUAAGUUGGGGGUGAAAUCCCGAGGCUCAACCUCGGAACUGCCUCCAAAACUACAAAUCUGGACCUAAGUAGAGGCAAGUGGAAUUGCGAGUGUAGAGGUGAAAUUCGUAGAUAUUCGCAGGAACACCAGUGGCGAAGGCGACUUGCUGGACUUAUGGUGACGCUGAGACGCGAAAGCGUGGGGAGCAAACAGGAUUAGAUACCCAGUAGUCCCUGAGCGGGCUGGCAAGGCGCAU